rnacentral:rRNA from 1 species
AACGAACGCUGGCGGCAUGCCUAACACAUGCAAGUCGAUCGAAGCCUUCGGGCUUUGUGGCGCCCGGGUGCGUAACGCGUGGGAAUAUGCCCUUUGGUUCGGAAUAACAGUUGGAAACGACUGCUAAUACCGGAUGAUGACGAAAGUCCAAAGAUUUAUCGCCAGAGGAUGAGCCCGCGUAGGAUUAGCUAGUUGGGGGGGUAAAGGCGCACCAAGGCGACGAUCCUUAGCUGGUCUGAGAGGAUGAUCAGCCACACUGGGACUGAGACACGGCCCAGACUCCUACGGGAGGCAGCAGUGGGGAAUAUUGGACAAUGGGCGAAAGCCUGAUCCAGCAAUGCCGCGUGAGUGAUGAAGGCCCUAGGGUUGUAAAGCUCUUUUACCCGGGAUGAUAAUGACAGUACCGGGAGAAUAAGCCCCGGCUAACUCCGUGCCAGCCGCCGCGGUAA